UUCUUAAAGAUAAAAUUUUAAGUAUCUUCUGCUCAAUGGAUNAUAAAUAGCUGCGAUUANCACUAAGGUAGCAUAAUAAAUUGUUUUUUAAUUGAAGACUGGAAUGAAUGAAGGAAUGAGAAAUAGCUUUCUUAAAAUUAAUGAAUUGAAUUUUAAUUUUUAGUAAAAAUGCUAAAAUUAGUGUUAGGGACAAGAAGACCCUAUGAAGCUUUAUAUUUUAUAGUUGAAAAAUAAUAUUUUGUUGGGGCAACACUCUAAGAGAGGAGUUUAGAGAAUUUUAUUUAUACAGUAUAUUUUGUGGAGCCAUAAUUUAUGAAUAUUAGAAAAAGUUMCUCUAGGGAUAACAGCAUAAUUAGAUUGGAAAGNNCAAAUUUAUAAUUUAGUUUAUGACCUCNAUGUUNAAUUAAUNAAUCUAUNANGUGAAGGCNCUUAAAAANNUANUCUGUUCNACUAUGAAAAUAUUACA
rnacentral:rRNA from 1 species